AUCAGAAUAAAGCUCGGAGAAGGCGAUGGCACCCCACUCCAGUACUCUUGCCUGGAAAAUACCAUGGAUGGAGGAGCUUGGUGGGCUGCAGUCCACAGAGUCGCAAAGAGUUGGACACAACUGAGCGACUUCCCUUUCACUUUUCACUUUCAUGCAUUGGAGAAGGAAAUGGCAACCCACUCCAGUGUUCUUGCCUGGAGGAUCCCAGGGACGGGGGAGCCUGGUGGGCUGCCGUCUGUGGGGUCGCACAGAGUUGGACACGACUGAAGUGACUUAGCAGCAGCAGAAUAAAACAAAGCUCUAAGUAAAUGCUGGUGAGGAUGUGGAGAUACUAUGUUAUUCACUCAUUGCUGGUGAAAUGAAUGGCCGUACUUGGUAUGGACAUAACAAGAACAAAGGCCAGCAUUUGCUUAAAAAAUACGAAGUACAAACUGUCAUACAGCCCAACAACUGCACUCUGUAUUCAUCCCAGAUAAAUGAUCACGUAUGUUCACACAAAAAUUUAUAGACAAAUGUUCGUACCAGUUGUAUUCAUAGUAGCCUAAAACCAGAAGCAGCACAGAUCUCCUUCAAUGGAUGAACGGUUAGACAGACUGGAAACUCCUUCAAUGGAUGAACGGUUAGACAGACUGGAAACUCCUUCAAUGGAUGAACGGUUAGACAGACUGGAAACUCCUUCAAUGGAUGAAUGGUUAGACAGACUGGAAACUCCCGUAGCAUGGGAUAUGCAGUGAUAAAAAGAAGUUGACUGUAGUCACACACAGUAGCCGGGAUGAAUCUCCAGAGAAUUAUGCUGAGUGAAAAAGCCAAUCCCACAUGGUUAGGUAUCAGUAUAAUGAGAUUCUAUCUCUAUAUCAUUCUUGAAAUAGCAGCCAUACAUAAAUAGAGAACAAAUGACUAGUUUCCAGGGCUUAACGCAGGCUUCCCAGGUGGCUCAGCAGUGAAGGAUCCCUGCCAAUGCAGGAGACACGGUUCAGUCCCUGGGUCCAGGAGAUUCCCUGGGUCCAGGAGAUCCCCUGGAGAAAGAAAUGGCAGCCCACUCCAGUAUUCUUGCCUGGAGAACCCUGUGGGCAGAGGAGUCUGACAGGCUGCAGUCUAUGGGGUCACACAGAGCUGGACACGACUGAGUGACAGCAUGCAUGCAAGGGUGAAUGGCUUGAGUGGGAGGGAAAAGACGUGAAUAUAAAAAAGCAACAUUAGCAUCUUUGUAGUGGUGAAAGCGUUCUGGAUCUUGACUAUAUCAAUAUGAUACACUGUUUUUGAUGUUGUGUCAAUACUAGAGUUUUGCAAAAUUUUGCCAUUGGGGAAACUGGGUCAAGUGCACAUGGCGUCUUUGUGUCACAUUUUCUCAACUGUGUGUGGAUCUAGGAUGGUCUCAGAGUGAGAAGCUGUAAGACACACACUUCUUGUCCUGUGCCUUCUUUUGGGGCUUCCCGAAAGGAGUACCAGUCUUUACUGGCUCAGGGGUGAAGAGUCUGCCUGCCCAUGCGGCAGGCCCAGGAGACUCGGGGUCAG
ensembl:lncRNA